ACAGUUCAGUCCAGCAGAAGAGCUCAAACCCAGAGUCCAGCUGUGUGUCUAUCAAGAGUAACCGCUCUAUGCCUCUGUCAAUACAUUUCAAGACUGAAGACACACAACCUGAUCUCAGGUCAGUCCAGGAGAAGAGAUCAAAACCAGAGUCCAGCUGUGUGUCUAUGACGAGUAACUGCUCUAUGACUGAGCCAGAACAUUUGAUGAGUGCAGACAAACGGCCUGAUCUCAGCCGUGACUCUAAACAUACUGAAGUCCUCAAAACGCUUCUGAAGAAGAAGUUUGAGUGUCUGUAUGAGGGAACAGCGACGCAGGGAAACCCAAC
rnacentral:lncRNA from 1 species